rnacentral:lncRNA from 1 species
AUAUUUUAGCUUUGGCGUAUAGGUAGGCUAGGCUUACCAUAUCUUUAGUUUGACAAUAUUUAAGGUAAUUAUGUGUUAUUAUGCUAGUUUUGGACAGGUAGUUGUAGUUCGCGUAUCAUUUAAUAUAGAUAUCAUGCCCUAAUUAUCUGGUUAAGACCCUGAUUUAGUAAAUUUCAACUUCGUUAUCUUUUAGUAUAAUGUAGUAUUUAUUAGCUUAGGAUGUGGUAUUUAAGUUGUGAAACCUUUGAAUCAUCUCUUUUUAAUUAAGCUAUACAAAUGGUUUUUAAAUGUAUUUUAACUGUGAUUUAGGAUUAGAAAUAUAAUUUAUUUCUAUUAUUUAUUGUGAAAUUUUUCAUGCUGUGGCAUCGUCUACGGUAUGAUUUGGAUUUUAAUUUUAUUGUUGGGUAUGAUUACUGUGAGUUUUAGUUCGAAUCUGGCAUCUGGUUGUGAUAAGUUGGGAGUUCUGGUACUGCUUAUUGUUGUUCUAGGAGUUGUGGCUUCUCUAAGUUUUGGUUCAUGUUCGGUAUCUGAUUAUGAGUUCUGUUGUGUAUCAUAUAUAUGGCCUCUUGUUAUUACCCACUAUUUCUAAUUCAAAUCCGUCAUAUGACCUCUUGUUAUUAUCCACCACUAUCAGUUCAAGCCCAGCGUUUGGCCUCUCAUUACUACCCAUUGGUGCCCGUUCAAGCCAGCGCAUAUUUGAACAACUACUAUAAUUUCUUGGGAUUGGUUCAGUUAUAGAAUAUUUAUGUUUAUUUUUUUUGUGAAUACUUCUUGUGUGUUCCACUGGCUUACGGGGGUACAGUUGAGUUAAUUAUCUUCUUAAGUAUGUCUGGCGGGCUUAUAGGGCCCAAUUAGGUUAUGUUUUGUUUGUCGCUUAUUAAUACGUUAUUUAUAUUUCUAUAUCACUUUUACUUAUUCCUAUAUCAUAUUUGUGUAGCCCGAUAGUUGUUUACCUUUCAGUCCCUAUUUACCAUUGACUUAGACUAUACCUUUGCAUUUUAUUUAUCCUUUUUCUAUAUUGAGCUCAGUCGAUCGAUGAUGCCUUCUGACCCAUUGCUUUGGUACUCAUAUUAUACUUCCAUAUCUUUUUCCUGAUGUAGAUUUGAGUACUAGCGACCGACAUUAACGUGAUUUCUACUUUCCAGUACUGAUCUGGUGCACGGUGAGCUUGCUGUGAUCCGAGGCUGAUCCUCUUCUAUCAGUUUCAGUUUAGUCUUUUGUACUCGAGACUGCUUGUAUAGGUUGUGCAUGUUUUGAGUUCUUUCUAUUACUCUGGGUAUAUUUUAGUAGUGACUUUAGUACCGACCUUACUAGGUCUUGGGAGGGAUUUAGUUGUAUAUUUUUGGUCCUUUUCCUUCUCUCAUUUUGAUAUACUUUAUAUGUUUCCUUUCUGUUUUCUGCUUACUAUUAUUACUGUUAUCAUUAAAUGUGGUCUUUUCUGAUUCUGCCCGUUAACCCGUUGCCUAUCGUUUUGAGUUAUGGCUUGGCUUGCCUACUGGCGUGAUAAGGAAGGCACCAACAUGACUUGAGAAAUCGAGUCGUGAAAUUACUGACACCCAAUUAUUUUCCCUCCAUGCCUUAGUUUAAUUUCGAGUUUCUUAAGUUCUAAAUCAAGUCAAGAUAUUUAUUUUAUUCAAAUAAAGACUUUCUAAAAUUAUUUUUGG